GGGAGUGGAGAGCAGGUUUGUUUUCAUUUUUCUCUCUUCAACUGCUAAUCCAUCAACAUUAUGUUUUACUUAUAUUAUAUAGACGUAAUCAAGAUUAAGAUUGACAAGUGUGUCAUAUGAUACUCCAUUUGUCUAUUGUUAGAGCUAGCUAUGGUGUUUUGAGGGUUGUUAAUGAAAAUGGAGCAAAAGGAUAUGAGUUUAUUGUUAGUGGAAAGCUUGAGAACAACAUGCCAAGUUAAUGGAGUUCAAGUAAAGGUACACAUUGUCAUCUGGUGAAUCUGUCAAGGAGUUAAUUGACUGUUGUGAGACUUGUGCUUUUUAGACAGGGUAAGGAUCAGUUGUUACCAAGUCGACAAGAAGGUGAGACACUUCAACGACUACUACCAAAAUCCGACAUUCGUAUAUUUGAGGAUAAUGGUUACAUGAUCUUAUGGUAGCAAUCCUCAACAUUUGUUUUUAUUUUCUUUUUUCUGAAUGAAUGCUAAAGUGUAAUAUCUAAAUGUGACAACAAAAUCUUUUAAAGUAUUGAGUUGAAGUUGAAGUUGUUUCUGAUAAAACUCGAACAUGAUAUUUUAGAAUAUCUUUGUUUAUUUAUGGUGUUUUUUUUUUUUUUUGCAGUUUUUACCUUAAUCCAUGGAUCUGGAAAUGCAAUGUAUGCAUUAUUGUGCUGUUCAUCUAGGUAUUUGCUUUCUUAGUUUCAUCUCGAAAGGUAACAUUUUGAUUUACCUAAGAAAGCAUGUUUAUUCUAUAAACUCAACCUUAUUUUCCUGGUUAUGUGUUCUCUUUGGUAGCCUAUUCUCACUGGUUUUAAUAAAUUAUUCAUGUUUUGUCAAAAAGGGGGAAUUUGCUUGGGAUGUAACCGGUCAGAAGAAAGGAAGAGAGUUUAAGAUCACUGUUGUAAGUUUAUGGCAAUCUGAAGUUGAACAACUUCAUUUUCUACUUGAAUGGUUGCUCAUUGUUAGUUUCUUCUUUCGAUUUAUAAUUUUUUUCCAAAUAUGAUUUGUUGUUUUCUAACUUGAAAUUUUAUUUGUUUGAAAGAUUUUUGCUUUUUAGGGGUUUGAUUGUAUGAUGGUAGCUAAAAAGAAGUGAAAUCAUAUUUUUUUUUUUCACAUUUAUAUAAGGUAUUAUUAUAUGAUUUUUGAUAUACUCUUUAGAAAAGUAUUCAUAGUACUAUGUCUCCGGGUUCCUUUUUUUAUGUUUUAUAUGCUUUAACUCUCAAUAUAUCUUUGUGGAUGAAUCUUACUAGAGGUUUUGAUUUUGGAGGCAAUAGGCUACAAAUUUUGAUUCAACAAGAUUGAGAUGGAGCAAGUUUUCGGUUAAAUCUACUUUAAAGCUGAACUUCUCUCUAUGGAUGAAUGGCUACAGGUUUGAUGUUGUCAUGCUAUAUCUCCUUAAAAGUUUAAAGCUUCUCUAUGUUUUUCUUAUUUCCUCUUUUAUAUGGAAAUUAUGUAAUUAAGCUUUUGAACAUAUAUUUGCAUGUACUUGAAUAUGUCUAUGUGUGUAGGUGGGAUCGUUUCUCAUUUCUCAGCUUGGUAAAUCCAUGCCAUAGCUCAAGAAAAAGACAUAUACCAUAGAGGAUAUAUUAGUAAUAUGAAAGGAUUCAUGAAAGUACAAAUAUGUCAUGCAUGUUUCCAUCGGUGGAAAAGAGCUUCACAAGCACCUAGCUUGUGAAUUGUGUGAAGAUGUUAGAACUAAGCGGUUAGUGAAAUCUCACAGCUCUAACAUUCGUAAAUUCCUACUUUUCAAUUUCUUAUAUGUAUGCCCAUAUUUAUAAAUGUGAUUGUAGUAAGUGCAACUUUUUAAACAUUAUAACUGAGGUGGCCAAGUGGGUCUCUACCAUAAUCAUGGUUAUAAUUCUGUUAUUAUCUCUAAAAAACAAUACGAGUUAGUGUCUAAAGCAUAACUAUCUAAAUAUUAAUUAGUAAGUCUUAAAUAGUAUACUUAUAUCUUUGAAAUAUGCUUUGUUUUAAAAAGACAUAACAAUAAAUAUAUAUUUGUUAUAGUAAAUUAUACCAUCAAUAAAGAUAUCAUUUUCUAACAUUGAAUUUAGUGGAUAUUGUUUUCAUGGGACGGUAACCAUGCACUCAAAUAUGUACAUAAAUAUAGUAAUAAAAAAUGAGAAUAUUUUAUGGUAUGUUAUUUUAAUGUGUACAUGACAGGUAGCAGAGAUGUAAUAGAAGGAAAUGGAAGUAAGUUGUAAUUUCUUGCUAAUGAAUGAAAGUACGUUGUUAUUCAUCACAUUUAAUUUGACGUAAAUGCAAGAAAUAACAACGUACUUUCUAAGUACAUUGUCAUCAUGAGAAUAAAUUGAAAGUAAACUACCCUUUCUUGCUAAUAAAUGAAAGUAAGCUGCUAUUUGCAUUUAUUUUGGGUACAGUGCAAGAAAUAGCAAAUUACCUCAAAAUUAAAGUGCCCCAUAAUGAGAAUAAACUUGAAAUUAAAUUACUAUUUCUCGCUCAUUGGCUUAUUUGGCAUAUUUCUUUAAAAUAAAAUCAACGCUUUUGGGUAAAUUGCAGGAAAUGGCAAGAUACUUAAAACCACUAUUAUGAUUUGAAGUUGAUUACAUUUUCUUUUGUAAGUAUAGUUUAUUUUUUUGGAAAUAACUCUGAAGCUUCUAAUUGUUUUCUAAUUUUGAACCUUCUUUUGGCCAAUUUGCUCCAAGCAUGUUUGUGUUUGAAAAAGCACCACAAACCAAGCGUUAGGCAUGGAGUUGGAGUAUGUUCUUGGGAAAAUUAAUGUUAAAAAAUAUCGUAUUUGUGUGCCCUUUAAGACCAGAAGUAAAAUUCUAAACAGUUUCUCUGUGUGUUUCUAAAUGCUUUAUUAUGAUGAAUCAUCAUUUUCCUAUAUUUCUAAAGUACAUGCUCAGGUAAUUAAUAUUUUCGUGAGCAAGUGUUGUUUUAAUUGUAUGCUUUUAAAAUAAUUAAGCAGA